GCCAGGAUGUUGGCUUAGAAGCAGCCAUCAUUUAAAGAAAGCGUAAUAGCUCACUGGUCGAGUCGGCCUGCGCGGAAGAUGUAACGGGGCUAAACCAUGCACCGAAGCUGCGGCAGCGACACUGUGUGUUGUUGGGUAGGGGAGCGUUCUGUAAGCCUGUGAAGGUGUGUCGUGAGGCAUGCUGGAGGUAUCAGAAGUGCGAAUGCUGACAUAAGUAACGAUAAAGCGGGUGAAAAGCCCGCUCGCCGGAAGACCAAGGGUUCCUGUCCAACGUUAAUCGGGGCAGGGUGAGUCGACCCCUAAGGCGAGGCCGAAAGGCGUAGUCGAUGGGAAACGGGUUAAUAUUCCCGUACUUGGUGUUACUGCGAAGGGGGGACGGAGAAGGCUAUGUUGGCCGGGCGACGGUUGUCCCGGUUUAAGYGUGUAGGUGUGUGUUCCAGGUAAAUCCGGUUCACUUUAACACUGAGGCGUGACGACGAGGCACUACGGUGCUGAAGCAACAAAUGCCCUGCUUCCAGGAAAAGCCUCUAAGCAUCAGGUAACAUCAAAUCGUACCCCAAACCGACACAGGUGGUCAGGUAGAGAAUACCAAGGCGCUUGAGAGAACUCGGGUGAAGGAACUAGGCAAAAUGGUGCCGUAACUUCGGGAGAAGGCACGCUGAUAUGUAGGUGAAGUGAUUUACUCAUGGAGCUGAAAUCAGUCGAAG
rnacentral:rRNA from 1 species